rnacentral:tRNA from 1 species
UGGGGAAUUGUGUAGUGGUAGCACACCGGCCUUUGGAGCCGUUAGGGGAGGUUCGAAUCCUCCUUCCCCAG